GAAAAGACUGCGUCAGGUUCUCCGACGUCUCCCUCUUCCACAAAGGACAACCACGCUUCAACCAAGUGUUUUGCAGGAGAUCCAAGCAGUGGGUCGUGAAGCAGAUUUUUAUUCCACACACCACCCAGUUCAUUGACACACUUGUCACAAGUGUCAUAACCAGAAGACGAAACCCAACGAUUCUAUAUAAGGUUUCAACAUCCUCACUUGCCCUGCCCCAGCCUGCGCUGCCACCUAACAUUGCACCAGUGCCAAAACCACCAAAGGAGGCGGCAGUGGCUGAAUUAAAAAGGCGCUUCUGAGAGGGACAUCUGACCUAUUUUAUCUAUUUAAACGUAUCUUUUAUAAAACAUUUGUUUUCAAUCUUAUCUUUGUAAAUAUUGUAUCAUUUUCCUUUGUGAAUAAAAUCUUAUUGUUUUUACUACCUUA